GAUGCCUGCUGUUCUUCUAUCGUGUGUUUCCUCCCCUAGAAGUCAACUCCCGGGGCCCGUUUACUGUUUCGCUCCCAGAGUUCAGUUACUGCUGUGCUCUGCCUGAACAUAUGCGACACAAGGUAUCGAAGACAGCUGGAGAAUGAAUUCCCUUGGGCAGCAGAAUCUGGCAGAUCUUGUAUCCACCUAAUACGUUAACUAUCACCAAAAGAAGUAUUAAAAACCUGGUAUUUAUUUAA